rnacentral:rRNA from 1 species
AGAGUUUGAUCCUGGCUCAGGAUGAACGCUAGCGACAGGCUUAACACAUGCAAGUCGAGGGGCAGCGAGGGAGUGGCAACACUUCUGUCGGCGACCGGCGCACGGGUGAGUAACGCGUAUGCAACCUGCCCUUCACAGGGGGAUAACCGGGAGAAAUUCCGACUAAUACCGCAUACGUCCUUUGGGGGCAUCCCCGGAGGAUGAAAGAUUUAUCGGUGAAGGAUGGGCAUGCGUGAUAUUAGGUAGUUGGCGGGGCAACGGCCCACCAAGCCCACGAUAUCUAGGGGUUCUGAGAGGAAGGUCCCCCACAUUGGUACUGAGACACGGACCAAACUCCUACGGGAGGCAGCAGUGAGGAAUAUUGGUCAAUGGACGAGAGUCUGAACCAGCCAAGUCGCGUGAAGGAUGAAGGUCCUACGGAUUGUAAACUUCUUUUAUAAGGGAAUAAACCCUCCCACGUGUGGGAGCUUGUAUGUACCUUAUGAAUAAGCAUCGGCUAACUCCGUGCCAGCAGCCGCGGUAAUACGGAGGAUGCGAGCGUUAUCCGGAUUUAUUGGGUUUAAAGGGAGCGCAGGCUGCGAGGCAAGUCAGCGGUCAAAUGUCGGGGCUCAACCCCGGCCUGCCGUUGAAACUGUCCUGCUAGAGUUCGAGUGAGGUAUGCGGAAUGCGUUGUGUAGCGGUGAAAUGCAUAGAUAUGACGCAGAACUCCGAUUGCGAAGGCAGCAUACCAACUCGCGACUGACGCUGAGGCUCGAAAGCGUGGGUAUCGAACAGGAUUAGAUACCCUGGUAGUCCACGCAGUAAACGAUGAAUACUAACUGUUCGGAGGGCGACCUCUGAGUGGUAAAGCGAAAGCGUUAAGUAUUCCACCUGGGGAGUACGCCGGCAACGGUGAAACUCAAAGGAAUUGACGGGGGCCCGCACAAGCGGAGGAACAUGUGGUUUAAUUCGAUGAUACGCGAGGAACCUUACCCGGGCUUAAAUUGCAAAGGAAUAAUCUGGAAACAGGUUAGUCUUCGGACCUUUGUGAAGGUGCUGCAUGGUUGUCGUCAGCUCGUGCCGUGAGGUGUCGGCUUAAGUGCCAUAACGAGCGCAACCCCCGCGUCCAGUUGCCAGCGAGUAGAGUCGGGCACUCUGGACGGACUGCCGGCGCAAGCCGCGAGGAAGGCGGGGAUGACGUCAAAUCAGCACGGCCCUUACGUCCGGGGCGACACACGUGUUACAAUGGCGUGGAACAGAGGGAAGCCACCUGGCGACAGGGAGCGGAACCCGAAAACACGUCUCAGUUCGGAUUGGAGUCUGCAACUCGACUCCAUGAAGCUGGAUUCGCUAGUAAUCGCGCAUCAGCCAUGGCGCGGUGAAUACGUUCCCGGGCCUUGUACACACCGCCCGUCAAGCCAUGGGAGCCGGGAGUGCCUGAAGGCCGUAACCGCAAGGAGCGGUCAAGGGUAAGACUGGUGACUGGGGCUAAGUCGUAACAAGGUAGCCGU